rnacentral:rRNA from 1 species
UACGAAGGUCCCAAGCGUUGUUCGGAAUCACUGGGCGUAAAGGGAGCGUAGGCGGCGUGGUAAGUCAGAUGUGAAAUCCCGGGGCUCAACCCCGGAACUGCAUCCGAUACUGCCAUGCUAGAGGAUUGGAGAGGUAGCUGGAAUUCUUGGUGUAGCAGUGAAAUGCGUAGAGAUCAAGAGGAACACUCGUGGCGAAAGCGAGCUACUGGACAAUUCCUGACGCUGAGGCUCGAAGGCUAGGGUAGCGAAAGGGAUUAGAAACCCCCGUAGUCC